rnacentral:misc_RNA from 1 species
GUUUUAAUAUUUUUUCAAUCUAAUCUCUCAUUGCAAGGAGUAUCUAUUAUGACAACUCCCGGAGAAACUAUUCAUAUAAACAAAUAAGCAUACGUACCAGAAACACGAUUUGUCAAGACGAAUAUUUGAGCUAUAAUCUCAAAAAAAGCUGAGCGAAGAGAAUGUAAACAGAAAAGCAUCUCAACAAAAGUUCCACUUGUGCAUUUAUUAACGUCUAUUGCAAGUAACAAUAGCACAGCAGAUUACUCCUUCAGGAUGCCCCAACUUUGACUAGGUCUUCGAGCGCCUUCGAGAUCUGUGCCUCACUUAAACCCUCAAGACGAGCAACCCUCUCAAUGCCCAUGUCAUAUCUAGCCCAUAAUUGCGGCUCGACUCCACUGCAUUCGCGGAUCAAUAUUGGAAAUUUGGGAUUCAAAGUCUUGAGGUCCUUGUAAUUCUUUUCCACAAAUGCCCUAGUGGGGGCGCUUGAAGGAGAGGAUUGGCAGAGCAAGAUUCGAAGCUCCUUCAAAUUCUUGGAUAGCUGUCCUCUCCAUGCCAUUUCAACCUCUCUCGCUGUUCGUGAAUGGAGUGAAGUCUCUGUACCUCAGAUGAAUGAACCCGGACCUUCCCAAAAG